rnacentral:rRNA from 1 species
AGUGAACGCUGGCGGCAGGCCUAACACAUGCAAGUCGAGCGGCAGCGGGUCCCCGCGAGGGGAUGCCGGCGAGCGGCGGACGGGUGAGGAACACAUCGGAAUCUGCCUGGUUGUGGGGGAUAACGUAGGGAAACUUACGCUAAUACCGCAUGCGACCCUGAGUCGACGGACUUGGGGUGAAAGUGAGGGACCUUCGGGCCUCACGCGACCAGAUGAGCCGAUGUCGGAUUAGCUAGUUGGCGGGGUAACGGCCCGCCAAGGCGACGAUCCGUAGCUGGUCUGAGAGGAUGAUCAGCCACACUGGGACUGAGACACGGCCCAGACUCCUACGGGAGGCAGCAGUGGGGAAUCUUGG